AUACGGAGGAUCCGAGCGUUAUCCGGAUUUAUUGGGUUUAAAGGGUGCGCAGGCGGCCAUUUAAGUCAGCGGUUAAAUCGUGGGGCUCAACCCCAUUCUGCCGUUGAUACUGGGUGGCUUGAUUGCGGUCGAGGUUGGCGGAAUUCGUUGUGUAGCGGUGAAAUGCAUAGAUAUGACGAAGAACACCGAUUGCGUAGGCAGCUGACCAGACCGCAAAUGACGCUCAUGCACGAAAGUGCGGGGAUCGAACAGGAUUAGAUACCCUGGUAGUCCGCACAGUAAACGAUGAAUACUUGUUUUCGGCGAUAUAAUGUCGGAGGCAAAGCGAAAGCGAUAAGUAUUCCACCUGGGGAGUACGGCCGCAAGGCUAAAACUCAAAUGAAUUAGCGGGG
rnacentral:rRNA from 1 species